CACGGGUGAGUAACACGUAUCCAACCUGCCGUCUACUCUUGGCCAGCCUUCUGAAGGAAGAUUAAUCCAGGAUGGCAUCAUGAGUUCACAUGUCCGCAUGAUUAAAGGUAUUCCGGUAGACGAUGGGGAUGCGUUCCAUUAGAUAGUAGGCGGGGUAACGGCCCACCUAGUCUUCGAUGGAUAGGGGUUCUGAGAGGAAGGUCCCCCACAUUGGAACUGAGACACGGUCCAA
rnacentral:rRNA from 1 species